UGAACGCUGGCGGCGUGCCUAAUACAUGCAAGUCGAGCGAACGGACGAGAAGCUUGCUUUUCUGAUGUUAGCGGCGGACGGGUGAGUAACACGUGGAUAACCUACCUAUAAGACUGGGAUAACUUCGGGAAACCGGAGCUAAUACCGGAUAAUAUUUUGAACCGCAUGGUUCAAAAGUGAAAGACGGUCUUGCUGUCACUUAUAGAUGGAUCCGCGCUGCAUUAGCUAGUUGGUAAGGUAACGGCUUACCAAGGCAACGAUGCAUAGCCGACCUGAGAGGGUGAUCGGCCACACUGGAGCUGAGACACGGUCCAGACUCCUACGGGAGGCAGCAGUAGGGAAUCUUCCGCAAUGGGCGAAAGCCUGACGGAGCAACGCCGCGUGAGUGAUGAAGGUCUUCGGAUCGUAAAACUCUGUUAUUAGGGAAGAACAUAUGUGUAAGUAACUGUGCACAUCUUGACGGUACCUAAUCAGAAAGCCACGGCUAACUACGUG
rnacentral:rRNA from 1 species